UUUAGUGUUUUAAGACAAAAGGAAAACUAUCUUUUAUAUGGUAUUUGCUUAUAUGAUUUAGGAUUGGUAUUUUGAGUAAAAAAAAAAAAAAAUGGUACUCUUCCUCAACUUAGUUAGGUGUCAAAAAUAUACAAAGAUUCAAAUAAACUCUUCUCUCUCCUUUGAUCUCUGUCAUCGUGUCCAAACAAAAUGAGGACAACAAAACUCAAAUACUUGAGUUGUCAAAUUUCCAAUACUUAAUCUGAUGCUUAAGUUUAUAACUAGCAAAUCCAUCUCAAAAAUUCUUUUGAUUCAGCACUAGAAACUUUAAAGAAAACCCCAAUUCUCAGUUUUCAUUCUUACAUUUUCUUUCUCAAAGAGUUGUUCUCCUCUCAAAUUCUAUUGCUGUGCUCAUUCUCCGUCGGUAGGCCUUUGUCGGCGUUCUGCUGGUGCUGUGGCGCUGCCACUACCAUCAACUGGGCUGCUACCCUUCUUUCUUUUUCCUUCUGUUCUGUCGAUGCUGUUACUGUUUUCAGUGCUCGUUGCCGGCGAGUUGUCAUCGUUGUCCUGGUGUGUUGCUGUUGUGGUCGGCCGUGUUGUGAUGUUGGUUGUGGACGCUGCUUCUUGGUAUUAUUGUUGGUGUUUUUCUCAUUCUUCAGAAUCCUGAUUCACAUAAACCCAAUUGGUGCAGGUUUUAGUUCAGCUUCUCUUUCUUUCUUUCUUUAUGUAUCAAGUUCAAGUGGUUAUGAAUAGAAAACUAUGUUCUAAAAAUUGAAUCUUUAUUCCUUGAUUAGUACAGAGAGAUAGUUUAUUUUAAAGCUUUCCAAUUCAAAGUUCUGAUUUUGAUUAAGUUAGUUACUAGAUCAUAUUUUAAGAAGAAGUCAUGUUCCAAAUAAUUAACUUACUGUAUUUCUUUUCAAUGGAUUCAAGUGAGUUUUAUAAGAGUAAAUUGAUGAUCUUGUUUACAGAAAUACGUUUUUCUUUGAUUGGUUUACUCUCAUGUGGGCAAAUUGGUUCAAGAAGUACUUUAUUGCUUUAGGAAAUGAUCUGUCAUGAAGGUUUUUAGAAUUUACAUUGCAAUUUGACUAGUUGGUGUCUAAAUUAAAGUGAUCAAUAUUAUAUAUAUAUAUAUAUAUAUAUAUAUGGGUGUUCAAUUAGUAGUAUAUGGAAGUGUUAUAAAAAUAUUAAUCGAAUAAGUUAUGGGUUUCUAAUUAAGCCAUAAGGUGUAUUCACUAUUCUAAUGAUAAUUAUUGUUGUUGAGGUGAAUUAUUGUGGAGUUCAAGCCAGAGUCGAUGAUCGAGUAUCUAUGAUCUUGGAAGUUAUUAAUUGAGAAUUAGUUGUGGUUGAGGUGUAUGUUCGGAUUUCUGGAUGAAUCAAGAGAAAAAGUUUUCAGUUAAGAGAUGGAAAUUAAAUUAGAUUCGAAGUUAGAUUUAGAAUAUAUAAUUGUUGAAUAUUAAGUUCUUAUAUGAUGUUUAAGUAUUGUAUUGUCUUGGGAAUCGAGUAAAGUAUUAUAAAAUCAGGUAUUGGUUUUGAGGAUGAUGUGUUGUGGGCCUUGACCCACAGGUCCAGGAUCGUGUAAAAAGGUUUUGUUUCCGCUGCGAGUAAAUAGUUAAUUUUAGGUUA